AGAGUUUGAUUAUGGCUCAGGAUGAACGCUGGCGGCGUGCUUAACACAUGCAAGUCGAACGGAGUUUUUAAACGGAAGUUUUCGGAUGGAAGUUAAGAACUUAGUGGCGGACGGGUGAGUAACGCGUGGGUAACCUGCCUCAUACAGGGGGAUAACAGUUAGAAAUGACUGCUAACACCGCAUAAUAUAGUGAAACCGCAUGAUUUUUGCUAUCAAAUAUUUAUAGGUAUGAGAUGGGCCCGCGUCUGAUUAGCUAGUUGGUGGGGUAAAAGCCUACCAAGGCGACGAUCAGUAGCCGGCUUGAGAGAGUGACCGGCCACAUUGGGACUGAGACACGGCCCAAACUCCUACGGGAGGCAGCAGUGGGGAAUAUUGGACAAUGGGGGAAACCCUGAUCCAGCGACGCCCGCGUGAGUGAAGAAGUAUUUCGGUAUGUAAAGCUCUAUCAGCAGGGAAGAUAAUGACAGCACCUGACUAAGAAGCCCCGGCUAACUACGUGCCAGCAGCCGC
rnacentral:rRNA from 1 species